rnacentral:rRNA from 1 species
UACGUAGGGGGCAAGCGUUGUCCGGAAUCAUUGGGCGUAAAGAGCGUGUAGGCGGCCUGGUAAGUCCGCUGUGAAAGUCCAGGGCUCAACCCUGGAAUGCCGGUGGAAACUGUCAGGCUCGAGUCCGGAAGAGGCGAGUGGAAUUCCUGGUGUAGCGGUGAAAUGCGCAGAUAUCAGGAGGAACACCAAUGGCGAAAGGCAGCUCGCUGGGACGGUACUGACGCUGGAGACGCGAAAGCGUGGGGAGCAAACAGG